CUUACGUAUGAGGGACAAAAAUGGAAACGUCCGUUCGGACCGAAAUCUAUGAUUUGUUGAACAUUUUUUUGGUCCUACGCCUUUCACAGAUGACAUAAAUUUCUACAAAUACAUUUAAACAACUUAACACAGUGAUUGCUAUCAGGAUGUAAGGAGACUUUUAACCAGCAUAACAAAAAAUGUUUCAGGAUCAAAUCUGUUACCCUACCUUUAAGCCUCCUCGGAGGCAAAACACCUGGCGAUGCCAUCCGCAGGGUCUUGCGUACAAUUGGAACUAAUGGUCUAAUGUCAAAAUACAGCAUGAGAGGAAGGAAGGGGAAAAAAAUUUGGAGAGCUGAACAUUUGCAGCGUGAUCAUUCAAGCCUGCCAAAAGAUCCACCCAAAAGUGCCAGCUAAGGUGUUAGAGGACUGCAUUGCAGACACUUUAAAAUAUGCUCCCCAUCGUGAGUCAAGGAUGGAGCAUGAACAGCAGACGGACUAGUUUUCAGCACCCACACAGACAUCCACAUUUAUUUAAGUUCUUACUGAUUGAAGAAGAUAGAUCCAUUGCUGCCCAAGCUAAGCUUUAUUGACACAAGUGUGACAUCCCGAAAAAAAAAAAACCAUUAAUGACCGGUGGGUGAAGGACCUCCUCCUGAGGUAUGUGCAGCUGUUCGGUCUCCUGCUACCUCGAGGUCAACGUGGACAGGGCAAUUCAUGGGCAGGGCCGCCUCAGGUCGUUCACUUUCCUCGAGAUGCGGCAGCCUGCACAAGCUGGGACCAGCCAAGAGAGAAAAUGGCGCAGUAGACGCGUACACCUCUACAAAGCAGUGGCUGGUGAUGAAGGAGGAGGACAUCACCACCAAGUCCCUGAAGUGCUUCAGGCGCUACAUUCUCGAUAGAGAGAAGCCUCCACCAGAUGCCACUCUUCCUGCUGUGACUUCCAGCUCUUCAAGAAGAGAACCAGGCCCAGUCAGUAGAUGUUCAUUCAGAGAAGUAUUCUGAAAUCUUGCAGAGCAAUCAAAGACAAUGCGAAUCUUGCCUGGCUUCUGCGGGUUGUAAACCCCAUGAUGAGGUAUAUACAGUGGUGGGCCAUCAGGACCAGCAGGGCCUUCUCUGCUGGCCCUAUAAAAAAUAUAUAUUUUUAAAGUGUUAAAUGGUAUUCUUUAGUAUGCUAUUUAUUUAUUUUUUCCAUUGGUGUAAUUUCCGCAAAAUUCGUUAGUUUUGUAAAGGUUGAACCGGAUUAAAUUCAAAAACUUUUGGUGAAUGUCUUGUGGAUUUGCAACUUAACGAGGAGAGAAAACGGGAGAUCAGCGUCCACGAUGAGAGGGUCAGAAACAACCGGGACAUUCUGAAGCGUCUUAUUGACUCUGUUUUCUUUUUGGGACAGCAAAAAUUAUCAGGGGACACGAUGAAUCCAGAGAUUCGCUGAACAGGGGUAAUUACUUGAAGUUAUUAGCGGAGCAUGAUGCUGACUUGCGACAUCAACUUGCCACGGCCACAGUUUUAACAGGACCGUCAGGAAAAAUCUAACGAUAUAAUAAAUGCAGUGGCAGAAGUGUUAAAUGAUCACAUCAAAGAAGAAAUUAAACAAACAAAAUUUGUGGCA